CGAACGGGUGAGUAAUGCGUGACCAACCUGCCCCAUGCUCCAGAAUAGCUCUUGGAAACGGGUGGUAAUGCUGGAUGCUCCAACUUGACGCAUGUCUUGUUGGGAAAGUGUUUAGUGGCAUGGGAUGGGGUCGCGUCCUAUCAGCUUGUAGGCGGGGUAAUGGCCCACCUAGGCUUCGACGGGUAGCCGGCCCGAGAGGGCGGACGGCCACAUUGGGACUGAGAUACGGCCCAGACUCCUACGGGAGGCAGCAGUC
rnacentral:rRNA from 1 species